UACGGAGGGAGCUAGCGUUGUUCGGAAUUACUGGGCGUAAAGCGCACGUAGGCGGCUUUGUAAGUUAGAGGUGAAAGCCCGGAGCUCAACUCCGGAACUGCCUUUAAGACUGCAUCGCUUGAAUCCAGGAGAGGUGAGUGGAAUUCCGAGUGUAGAGGUGAAAUUCGUAGAUAUUCGGAAGAACACCAGUGGCGAAGGCGGCUCACUGGCCCGGUACUGACGCUGAGGUGCGAAAGCGUGGGGAGCAAACAGG
rnacentral:rRNA from 1 species